UGGAUUGUGGUAUUGUUCUCUAUCGAGGAUGGGCAGUGGCGGUGCAUUGAUCCCUUGAUGUGAUUAGUGGGACUCAUCGAACCGCACAUUUCAAGUAAUUUCUGAUCUUUUGUUGUGACGGAAGGAAACAACGGUAACCUUUGGUUUGUUCAUCAUACCCAUCAAAGACCCCUUCUGUGGCGCGUGGUUGGAGCUUAUCCCGCUUGUCUUCGUCGAUGAAGAUGUAAACGUUGCUAUCGAAAAUACGAACGUUAUUGAGUUUAGGCCCUCUCUUAUAUAACAUCUAAAAAGGUAUUUUGUCCGGAUUCAAUCUAGUGGGCGUUUGGUUGAGCAAGAAGGCGGCAGUAUUUACUGCUUUGGUCCAAAAAAAACGUGGCCUUCCGGCUUCCAGGUGCAUGCUGCGUGCCAUCUCCAACAAUUUCUGAUUUGUUUGUUCAACUAUACCGUUCUGUUCGGGAGUGGAAGCAUUCGUUAACUGAUUCCAUAGGUGGAGAACAAUGUUGAGAAUUUGUCCAAUAAAAACUCACCUCUACGAUCGGAUCUGACUGUUGCAAUUUUGGAUUUCAGUUGUAAUUCUAUCAUUGUUUUAAAAUCACAAAAUAAUUGAAAGGCUUGUGAUUUGGUUGGCAAAAACCUGACCCAGAUAAAUCUGCUGAAGUCGUCUAUGAUAGCCAUGAAGUAAAGGGAUCCUCCGAGUGACUUAGUCAGUAGUGGGCUACUUAAAUCGAUAUGAAUUAAUUCCAACAUCAAUGUAGCUUGGGAUUUGCUUCGAUGUGGAAAAAAUCCCAAGGAAAAGCCCAAGAUUGUUUUGCAAGCUGGCAUGUUCUGCAGAUUUUGUCAUUAGUUGGUAUGUAAGGGAUACUUGAGGCGAGUUUAUUGGCUGUGAGUUGGUGAAGUCGCUCGAAAUUAAUAUGUCCUAGCCGCCUGUGCCAGAGGCAAGCUAGUUCUACCGUCGAGGAGGCAAUGUUAGCCUAAAUAUUUGUACUUUGUACUAUUAGUUGAUAUAAUCCGUUGUGUGGAUUGUGUUUCUCUUCGGCCCCGACCUUCUGUAAUUUCUUGCUAAAGAGCACACAUUUCUCAUCAUCAAAACAUGCUAUGCAGCCACGAUCAGCGAUGGACCCUACUGAUAAUAAUUUUUUCUUGAGGCCUGGGACAUACAAAACAUUGUGCACACUCUUUAUUGUCCCAGAAGGCAAUGUGAAGUUUACAGAACCGCAGCCUGUGGUUGAAUGAUUAUGCCUUCCAGCUGUUCUAACGCUUCCUUUAAAAUCAGCUAGUCUGUCGAAGUGUUCGCAAGUUCCACUUGCAUGCUUGGUAGCUCCUAAAUCAAGAUACUAGUCUGAGUCAUUUUCUUGAAUUUCGAGAUCUGAAGUAGCUACCUCAAAGAUAUCUUGGUCGGCAAAGUUGAUGUUGUCAGCUAAGAUUUCCUCAGACUCUGGUAGAUGCCAUGAUGCUUCUUCUGUAACCACAUUCGCAGAUCCGAAUUUGUUAUGUUGUUGGAGCUGCAUACUUCGAUCUGCUUCGAGCUUGCGUAUAUCUGAUGCUCCACAGCCGCUCUUUCUUCACCGCACGGAUUAAGUAGUACUUCCAGACGUUAAAGUUGGAGGAUCCUGUCAAUCUGACUUCCUCCGGGACAGGACUGUUCUUUGGCAUGAUGCUGGAUUGCAAACGUUAGUGUAAAUAGCCGUAUCGGAGAGGAGUACUAGCACAUGAGGUAAGGAAGAGAGGGUGAAGUGGGAUUCAAAGUUUGAAGAGAUGAGAGGGUUGAGGAGUGAGAGAAAGACGCUCACUCUAAUACCACAGAAGUGGAUAUACAGAGAGACCUCGAUACAGGAUGACUUUACAGUCUGGCAGGUGGUUACUAAUCACGGUUAAUCUAGUGGACAGUGGACAGUUACCUGGAGGUGAAAGUGUUCACACACCCACUCCGGAGGAUGAUUCACAAGGAAGCCGAAACCUCAUUCCGUUACGAAGGCGGUGCUCUUCUCGAGCACUGAUGAAGAAAUCUUUGGUAGUUUUGGAUCUGAACAAACUGGGUGUAGGAAUAGCUGGUUGAGUCCUGUCGCGUCGUUGUCCUUUACACCUGCUGGUGAAGAGCAGAUUUUGAGAUGUGAAUUACUUGUUCCUUGCAUCCCACGUUGUUCAUCGAGAGUCCUGUUGAUUUCCCUUACGCAAAUCUUCGCUGUAUUUGUACACUAGUUGCAGCAAAAUUACACAUUUAGCAGUGUUUUA